ACUUGUUCUUUAAAUGGGGACUAGUAUGAACGGCAUCACGAGGGUUAUGCUGUCUCCUUUUUCUAAUCAGUGAAACUAAUCUCCCCGUGAAGAAGCGGGGAUUAACCUAUAAGACGAGAAGACCCUAUGGAGCUUUAAACUUCUCCUCAAGCGCCAAACUAUUUUACCAGGUCAUAGACCCCCUCCACAGUAAACUUCUGGCACCAUGAGGAUGACUUUUAGGUUGGGGUGACCGCGGAGUACAAAAAAACCUCCACGCUGAAUAGGCCUCAAAACCUUGAGAUUAGGGCUACAACCCAACUCACUAAAAAAUUAACACUUAUUGACCCAAUAAUAAUUGAUCAACGAACCAAGUUACCCUAGGGAUAACAGCGCAAUCCACUUCAAGAGUCCCUAUCGACAAGUGGGUUUACG
rnacentral:rRNA from 1 species